rnacentral:rRNA from 1 species
UACGGAAGGCAGCAGUGGGGAAUAUUGCACAAUGGGCGCAAGCCUGAUGCAGCCAUGCCGCGUGUAUGAAGAAGGCCUUCGGGUUGUAAAGUACUUUCAGUCGUGAGGAAGGUGUUAAGGUUAAUAACCUUAGCAAUUGACGUUAGCGACAGAAGAAGCACCGGCUAACUCCGUGCCAGCAGCCGCGGUAAUACGGAGGGUGCGAGCGUUAAUCGGAAUUACUGGGCGUAAAGGGCACGCAGGCGGUUAAUUAAGUUGGAUGUGAAAUCCCCGGGCUUAACCUGGGAAUGGCAUUCAAGACUGGUUAGGCUAGAGUCUUGUAGAGGGGGUAGAAUUCCAUGUGUAGCGGUGAAAUGCGUAGAGAUGUGGAGGAAUACCGGUGGCGAAGGCGGCCCCUGGACAAAGACUGACGCUCGAUGUGCGAAAGCGUGGGGAGCAAAC